GGGGCCACGUAGCAAAAAGGCGAGAAGAAAAGAAGAGCGAUGCUUUUUUUUUUUUUGGUCAAAAACAGCGAUGCUUUUUCGACGUUGGAUUUCAAUUUCCCGUCACUUUUACUCGCAGCGACUUCGAUUAAUUUCGUUGGCUUCAAGUUAGAGAAAGCAUGAUUGAUCGAUCAUCCAAAAGCAGGAGGAGCUCGAGAUAAUCAACUCUCAGGGAUUCUUCCUAAACCAAGCUUCAUUCCAGUUUGGUGCUGAUUUUUUUUUUUCUUAUUUGCGGUGUCGUUUUGUGAAAUACCCAGAUUAUUUUAACAAAAAAAUCCAGAUUAUGUUUUCUGGGUUUUGUCGUUGAUCCGUGAAUUUUGUGUGAUUCGGUGGAGAAUUGGUGAAAUUCGGGGUUUUGGGGUGAUGGUAAGGAAUGGGGUGAUGGAUACACGAAAAUUCUGGAGAAGGAAAUGGAUUUCUGGGUUUUACAGAGUUGAGAUCGAGGGCGAUUGUGAUUUGGGUGAGGAACAGAGCUAGAAUCCUUUCAGCACAAAAUUCGAUCAAGUUCUUGAACUCUUUCUCUGUUCUUCGCUGUGGCGUCUCUGAUAGAUGAAAAGGAGAUGAUCGGAAGCCCGGGAACUAUGAGUGGUUUGAUUUUGAGAUUAGGGCAGUGUGCUUCUGCUGCUGCUUCGAUCGGUGUCAUGAUUUCUACUUUCGGCUUCUCCAGUUACACCGCAUUCUGCUUUUUAGUUGCAUCCAUGAGUCUUCAAUUGAUCUGGAGCUUUGGACUUGCUUGCCUUGACGUUUACGCAAUAAGGAGAAAAACCGACUUGCGGAGUCUAAUUCUAUUGAGCCUUUUCGCUGUCGGUGACUGGGUCACAGCCCUUUUGUCUCUUGCAGCUGCAUGUUCAUCUGCAGGAGUUACAGUUUUGUUUGUGGAAGAUACCAAAUUUUGCAGGCAACAAGUGUAUCUGUCCUGUAAUAGGUUUCAGAUAUCUGUUGGUUUGGCUUUCUUCACCUGGGCUCUGGCCGCAGUGUCAUCUCAUGUGAUGUUUUGGAUCUUGAUAUGACACUGAACGAUCAAAUCUCCAAAUUUACCAAAACUCAUCAUACUCAAGUGAAUUUGUUUGGGUUCUCUCUUUUUUUUUAGCUGCCUUGACUGAACAUGAGCCAGGUGGUAAACAGAAACUGAAAGGUGAACCACUUGGAUUUGGCUGACAUGACGGUACAAACCGCCAGCCCGGGCUCGGGGGCCACGGAGGAAGGCACCCCUUGACUCGGGAUCCAACCCGACAAAGCUCUGGUACGCCAAGCAACCUCAGCCAUUGAAUGCUGCUGAUCGUUAAAGCCAUUUGAAAGGAGCCUUUGAAAGGCAGUUUCUGUUACCAGUAACAGAGCUAAACAGCAGGACUGUUGACUGUUGAUGGAAUUGAUGUUGAGGGGGAUUCUCGGGUUUCAAGUUCGAUUUUUUCGGUUCUAGAGAAAUUGUCAUUAUUCGGUUUUUAUAUCGGUUCGGUUACGCCAAGUAGCAGAUCGUAGGACUGGUGGUCGUGCUCAGCGGGUAGGAGACUACUGUCGGGUAGCAGUUCGGGCACUGAGGCGAGCAGACCGGCCACGGGAUAUGUGGCGGCGGAGUGUACGGAACACAAUAGCAGGACCACGGCACACGUGACACGAAUCGACUCUCCAUUGUAGUGAGAAGUUCAAUAAAAAAUCGCUUAAAUCACAUUAUAUUUAUGUUUUGGAAGAAAUAGAGGGUCCAUGCA